GUGCCAGCAGCCGCGGUAAUACGUAGGGCGCAAGCGUUGUCCGGAAUUAUUGGGCGUAAAGAGCUCGUAGGCGGUUUGUCGCGUCUGCUGUGAAAACGCAAGGCUUAACCUUGCGCCUGCAGUGGGUACGGGCAGACUAGAGUGCGGUAGGGGAGACUGGAAUUCCUGGUGUAGCGGUGGAAUGCGCAGAUAUCAGGAGGAACACCGAUGGCGAAGGCAGGUCUCUGGGCCGUUACUGACGCUGAGGAGCGAAAGCAUGGGGAGCGAACAGGAUUA
rnacentral:rRNA from 1 species